GCCGGGAUAGCUCAGUUGGUAGAGCAAUUGAUUCGUAAUCAAUAGGCCGUCAGUUCGAGUCUGAUUCCCGGCU
rnacentral:tRNA from 1 species